rnacentral:misc_RNA from 1 species
UAGAGUUCCGCGAGUUCUGCCGUAGCAGCAAUCCAUAGCUGAACUAUAAGGCAAAUUUUAAAAAGACGGAUCGGGUUAUAGAGCGAUUGCAAUGAAAUACAAAGUUACGAUUGAGACUGCCAUCGCUGCUACCAAAUAUGCAAUCCUUCCAAUUUGUUGCUGGCCACCCCCGAUUGGAGCGAAUAAAUGGGCUGUCCGACGGCAUAAUAUUUGUGGUUGGUUAGCAAUAGUUCUCCUGGUAAUCAACGUGCUUUCUAUCAUUUACAAUAUCUACUUGAACAGAAAUGAUAUCGACAGAUGCAUAAAAAUUUUGGCAGAAAUGGGAGCCCUUAUGUCGACAUGCAUGAAAAUACUAAUCUGCAAGAAAGAACGACUUCGUCUUCAGGUUUUGGUAGCUGAAAUGGAGAAUUUUAUAAAGCAAGCUACUGGCGAGGAGAAAGAAUUAAUUCAGGCCUACGUCGAUAGAUGUUUCGUUUUACACACGACUGUUUUUGUCAGCUGUAUCCUCGGCCCAAUAUUUUUCAUCGCUGGCCCUAUUUUCCAGCCACAACCAUUUCCGGGUGAUGUUGCUUACCCAUUCGAGGUGAACUCAACUUGGCUGUGGCUCUGCAUGUAUGUUAUGCAGAGUAUUUCCAUCUUCCAAGUUGGAAGCAUGGUCAUGGUAGACAUUUUGUAUGCCAUGUUAUUGUGGUACACAGGCCUAAGGUUUGAGUUGCUAAAUCUGGAGUUCCAAAAAGUAACUAACACGAACGAAUUACGCGGCUGUGUAGGGAAGUAUCAAAAAUUAAUAAGAUACACGGAGAAUUUGACGGCCAGUACGCGUAUUAUAGCCGUAGAAAUUACGAGCAUCGCCAUGUUUGCCGUCACAACCGGAGGUUUCGUAAUUAUUCGGCGCCCGGGUAAAUACGACGUGGUAAAGUUCAUUUUCUUUGAGUUAGUAUCGGCAAUGGAGCUUCUUUUAUUUUCAUGGCCUGCGGACCAUUUGAUCAAAGUGAGCGAAGAAGUAGGCGCCUCUGUUUUCAACAGCGAUUGGAUCGGCAAAUCACCAACAAUGCUUAGAAACAUGCUGUCGAUUAUGCAACGAUCGCAACAACCAGUUGUUAUUUAUGUUGACGGUCUACUUCCAAUAUUAUCGCUUGCGUUUUAUGGAUCUACUAUGUCGGCAAGUUUUUCAUACCUCACAACGCUACGUGCAAUAGCUGAUGGCUAAUGGCGGUAAACUAAGAAUGAUUAAAUACCGUCGUGAGGGCGUUUACGCUGUGUAAACAUUUAGCGGAAAAUACUAUAGGCAGGGGAGCCAACGAACAAGUCGUAAUAUGUCAAAUUCCCCGUGUCAAGUGGCGAAUUGAAAUAGCUUUGCUAUCAUGACUCGUAGCACUCCCAAAUCACUACAUCAACUACUCGAUACCUGCUCAACUUAAAGAAAUUUGCAUCACCUGAACAAUUCCCCUGAGUUAAAUUUGAAUGCUGAAGCUUGAGAUGGUCAGCCUGCGUGAUAAAACGAUAAAGCUCCCAUACACGCAGUCAAUGGCUCAAUCAUCUAAGCUUCACCGUUCCUCUCGGUAUGUGAAAAUAAACAGUGAUAAUAAUUGAGCAAUCACAGUAAAUAAAAUAAAAUCCGAAAGUCUUACGAA